UCUAGCGUACAAAUAUCAUAACUACAAUCACAAACCCAUCAGAGUCACUUCUCAAGGAGCUACAAGUUGUAGAGGAAAUGAAAGACCAAUGUGAUCAGAAAAGAGAGGAGUAUGAGACCUUGCGGGCAGCUUAUAGAGAGAAAGGACGAUCAAGACAUUCCAAAGUUGAAACAUUCUCCCCA